CACACUGUGAAAAGUCUCUGCCUUUGUUUGUCAGUUUGAUCGUGGAGAAGAGAUUGGAGUAGAAACUUCCAAAUUGUACAAAAUAAUCGAAUACCUACAGACUUUAUUAUGUUGGUCCUCUUCUGCAGUAUUCAGACUUUCUUUGAAGGCCUAUGUGUAUGACAUCCGCAGCAGCAGCUACCUCCACAAGCUCCAGAGACACUCCGACACCAUCCUCAAUGUGACCUUUAACCCUGCUACACCUGAGGUGAGGACUGGCCGAUAGCCUCUUAAAAUUACACCCUCUCUCCGCAUUCUAUUGUCUUCUUCUCUGG
rnacentral:lncRNA from 1 species